rnacentral:rRNA from 1 species
UACAGAGGUCUCAAGCGUUGUUCGGAUUCAUUGGGCGUAAAGGGUGCGUAGGCGGCGCGGUAAGUCGGGUGUGAAAUCUCGGGGCUUAACUUCGAAACUGCAUUCGAUACUGCCGUGCUAGAGGACUGGAGAGGAGACUGGAAUUUACGGUGUAGCGGUGAAAUGCGUAGAUAUCGUAAGGAAGACCAGUGGCGAAGGCGGGUCUCUGGACCUUUUCUGACGCUGAGGCGCGAAAGCCAGGGGAGCAAACGGG